rnacentral:rRNA from 1 species
AUUGAACGCUGGCGGCAGGCUUAACACAUGCAAGUCGAGCGGUAACAGAGAGAAGCUUGCUUCUCUGCUGACGAGCGGCGGACGGGCGAGUAAUGCCUAGGAAUCUGCCUAGUAGUGGGGGAUAACUGGCCGAAAGGUAAGCUAAUACCGCAUACGUCCUACGGGAGAAAGGAGGGGACCUUCGGGCCCUUCGCUAUUUGAUGAGCCUAGGUCGGAUUAGUUAGUUGGUGAGGUAAUGGCUCACCAAGACCGCGAUCCGUAACUGGUCUGAGAGGAUGAUCAGUCACACUGGAACUGAGACACGGUCCAGACUCCUACGGGAGGCAGCAGUGGGGAAUAUUGGACAAUGGGGGGAACCCUGAUCCAGCCAUGCCGCGUGUGUGAAGAAGGUCUUAGGAUUGUAAAGCACUUUAAGUUGGGAGGAAGAGCAGUUAACUAAUAUUUGACUGUUUUGACGUUACCGACAGAAUAAGCACCGGCUAACUUCGUGCCAGCCGCCGCCGUAA